CGAUGGGUGGUGAGGAAUUGCAGUGAUGAUAGAAGCAAGGUGCACAGAGAAAGGAAAUUGAAGGUUUUGCGUGAAGGUUACAGAGAUGAAUAUUGAAAGAGGAAGUAGAGAGAAUCAAGAGAUAUUUUUUCAGAGAGAGUGCAUAAUUCUCAGUUUUUGUAUGAUUCUUCAAAGAGUAAAGGAUCAAUCCAUUGCUAGGUUUGGAUAUGUUGUCGCCACUGUUUUGGAUUGGUUUUAGCAGGUUCGGCAU